rnacentral:lncRNA from 1 species
UGAUUGUGGGUGCCCCAGAUUUGGUACUACAAUGGGAACUCUAUUAACGACGACCCGGAAAAUAUCUUUGAAAGCCUCUCCGUUUCUCCCGAGCCAAGCCGAUCCAGCUUGACCGUCUCAGCAGCGUUUUUCAAGCUGGAUUCUAUUUGUUCAUCCCUAACGACCCGAAUUCUUAUCUUUCUCCUGGUGACGGCGGCCGUUGGGGCUUGUGGUUGAGUUGAUAUUUGUUCACUGUAUAGAGCCAUGUCGUAGAUUCAAAUAAUUCUACGUAAGAAGCAAUGACAGGAUGCGACUUUGUCCGGCUUGUGCAAUUUCCAAGAUUCUCCUAUUUACCUCUGGUACUUUACAUACCUAUGCGCCUUUGACGAUGUCCGUAGCCUUCGGCUUCUACCGCAUCCAUUUCGCGUUGAAAUUUAGCUUCUAUGCAGCAGCUCUCGCCAUAUUACUUCGUAAUGAUAAUCAACAUCUACCCAAAAAUAUGUUCGAUAUAUGAUAGUAGCCUAGAGAAGAAUGCCUCUUCUGCAAAGCUAUAGUCCAUCUGUUCAGCCGGAACUCAGUCAUGCUUUAUACCUGUUGACUAUCUUAAUGAUUUUGCAUGCUGCUGACCGUCAGUUUUUCAUUAUAACUUUCCUGAAAAUUGCGGAAAAUUGCUAGAUUACGUGAGGCAGCGUCAGCUGGCCAAUUAAAAAGAACGAAGCUUACACCACUGAAAUCGUCAACAUGUUGCUUCUAAAAAUCUUGCCCCAUCACGUCGUGACCAACUGUAUCACGAAUAACACAAACGAGUGGCCGUCAUGUUUGCCUCUAUUCCACAUUUUAUGGACUAUUUCGCAGAAAAUGACAUCGACGAUGGCGGCCUUCGUUACUUAGAAGUCCUCAACUCGACAUCAGCGGGUUUGAUGCGUUGUCAUUCGAGGAAUCCUUCUCCCGUAUUGAGAAACUCAAAAUUGUGGGCAGCAUCAGGUCUAACGUCCGAAAUGGAUGAAUCACACUGAUCACCAUGAUGAUGUAAGUCUUCUUUGGCAAUGUGCACGGUAAUUGAGCAGUUGAACCGAAAGCGAUCGCACAACUUCCGACUGUAGAUCGUAAUUGAAUACGGACCGGUUAUUGCGGGAGUUGUUGGAACGCAGAAACCGCUUUACGACAUUCGGGGUGAUACGUUCAACACGGCAUCCCGGUUGGAGCACACUAGUCAAUUGGAUGACAUUCAAGUUACAAAAAAAAAACGGCCAAAUUACUGGAAGCUGUUGGUAUCUACUGUGAGAAUCGAGGCGUAACGUUCUUGAAAGAAAAAUUCCUCGUAUGACAUACUGGGUGCGUCUGGAGGAGUUAGAUUUCUACGAUUCUCUUCAAAGUUCCUCGGUCGCGAUUAAGAGCUUCCUCAUCGGUUUGAGCGACAUGUUAUUAACAUCGACUUCGGCUCGCAGUUCACUUAGCCGCAAACCAAUCCGGCUGUCCGUUCUGAUUGAAGAAGACAAAGAAGAACUUUCCAGUCAAAAAGUGUGGGAGCUAAUCCAGACUCUCUUCUCACAUCACCUCAGACUCUCAUGAAAUUCGAGUUGUACGAAGAUGUCGAUACUGUGUCACUGUCGAAUGAAGACGUUAAUUUAAAUAUUUAUGAUGAAGAUGAAAUGACGCAUCUCUAAAAAAAAAAUUCCCCUUUCUUCUUUAAUUCUUUUUUUAACUCAACUGCCUCAUCGUUAAAGUUCUAAGGCACUCAACUUCUUUAU